rnacentral:rRNA from 1 species
UUAAUUGAAGAGUUUGAUCAUGGCUCAGAUUGAACGCUGGCGGCAGGCCUAACACAUGCAAGUCGAGCGGUAACAGAAAGUAGCUUGCUACUUUGCUGACGAGCGGCGGACGGGUGAGUAAUGCUUGGGAACAUGCCUUGAGGUGGGGGACAACAGUUGGAAACGACUGCUAAUACCGCAUAAUGUCUACGGACCAAAGGGGGCUUCGGCUCUCGCCUUUAGAUUGGCCCAAGUGGGAUUAGCUAGUUGGUGAGGUAAUGGCUCACCAAGGCAACGAUCCCUAGCUGGUUUGAGAGGAUGAUCAGCCACACUGGGACUGAGACACGGCCCAGACUCCUACGGGAGGCAGCAGUGGG